CGGACGGGUGAGUAAUGCUUGGGAAUCUGGCUUAUGGAGGGGGAUAACUACGGGAAACUGUAGCUAAUACCGCGUAAUAUCUUCGGAUUAAAGGGUGGGACUUUCGGGCCACCUGCCAUAAGAUGAGCCCAAGUGGGAUUAGGUAGUUGGUGGGGUAAAGGCCUACCAAGCCGACGAUCUCUAGCUGGUCUGAGAGGGUGACCAGCCACACUGGAACUGAGACACGGUCCAGACUCCUACGGGAGGCAGCAGUGGGGAAUAUUGCACAAUGGGGGGGACCCUGAUGCAGCCAUGCCGCGUGAAUGAAGAAGGCCUUCGGGUUGUAAAGUUCUUUCGGUGAUGAGGAAGGUGUUUGUUUUAAUAGAACAAGCAAUUGACGUUAGUCACAGAAGAAGCACCGGCUAACUCCGUGCCAGCAGCCGCGGUAAUACGGAGGGUGCGAGCGUUAAUCGGAAUGACUGGGCGUAAAGGGCACGCAGGCGGUGACUUAAGUGAGAUGUGAAAGCCCCGAGCUUAACUUGGGAAUUGCAUUUCAUACUGGGUCGCUAGAGUAUUUUAGGGAGGGGUAGAAUUCCACGUGUAGCGGUGAAAUGCGUAGAGAUGUGGAGGAAUACCGAAGGCGAAGGCAGCCCCUUGGGAAUAUACUGACGCUCAUGUGCNGAAGCGUGGGGAGCAAACAGGAUUAGAUACCCUGGUAGUCCACGCUGUAAACGCUGUCGAUUUGGGGAUUUGGCUUAGAGCUUGGUGCCCGUAGCUAACGUGAUAAAU
rnacentral:rRNA from 1 species